AUUGAACGCUGGCGGCAGGCCUAACACAUGCAAGUCGAGCGGAUGAAGGGAGCUUGCUCCUGGAUUCAGCGGCGGACGGCUUGAGUAAUGCCUAGGAAUCUGCCUGGUAGUGGGGGAUAACGUCCGGAAACGGGCGCUAAUACCGCAUACGUCCUGAGGGAGAAAGUGGGGGAUCUUCGGACCUCACGCUAUCAGAUGAGCCUAGGUCGGAUUAGCUAGUUGGUGGGGUAAAGGCCUACCAAGGCGACGAUCCGUAACUGGUCUGAGAGGAUGAUCAGUCACACUGGAACUGAGACACGGUCCAGACUCCUACGGGAGGCAGCAGUGGGGAAUAUUGGACAAUGGGCGAAAGCCUGAUCCAGCCAUGCCGCGUGUGUGAAGAAGGUCUUCGGAUUGUAAAGCACUUUAAGUUGGGAGGAAGGGCAGUAAGUUAAUACCUUGCUGUU
rnacentral:rRNA from 1 species